UACCUUGACCGGCACCGGAACUGC
rnacentral:siRNA from 1 species